GCGGGAAGACCAAAGAAAAGAGCUACCCUUUUAUGUUAUGGAGUGAGUAAUAAUAGACAACACUAAAACAAAGAGGAUUUUCAUUUCCAUGUCUUUUUUUUUUUUUUUUUUUUUUUGUAGCCUUUCUUCUCCAAGGAGAAGUUCCAGUCUGCUAACCUGUGCAUGAACCAUGAGCAGUGCCUGGAAGUCAUCCCAGAAAAAGAGAAAAGUGGAUCAGAAGCAUCUGCAACUAAAUAGACCCUCAAAUCAAUAGAAAUAAGGCAGAGUAUGCUGAGCGAUUCUGUGGAGGAGAAAGAGUACACUGGUCUGAUCGGGAAAAGGAGGACAGAACGGAGGGGAAAGGAAGGACAGCAGGCCAUUGGUCUAUAGAGGAGGCGCUGCCGGUGUGUUCCAGCACCCACAUUCCCACACGGAGGAAAUGUCUUCCAGAAUGUCCACAGUCGAGGUACUCUCCCUUUACUUCAGUGCCUUCCAGCCAGCUGCUUGGGCUUCAGGGGAGUAGCAGCGGGGACACCCUUCCAAUCCUAACCUUCAAAAAACUCCCUACUGAGAACUCUGGGCAACUCUGAACUCAAGGCAUCCAACCGCCCUGGGCUGCAUUUAGACUUUAAUUCCUGACAUUCUGUUCAACAAAAUCCCAAGAUUAAAGUUCCACAAAAUCCUAU
rnacentral:lncRNA from 1 species